GAGAGUGGGAGAGAGAGAGGCUUUUGCCAGGUGCAGGGCAGAGACUGCUCGGGUAAGGCCAGUACUCUCGUGCCAGAGCCCUUCAGUGAGGCCUCCUCCCCCAUCAGCUGUAUGACUCUUCCCAGGCCCAGCACAAGGCAAGGCCUGCUUAUAUAAGUCUGGGCAGGAGACAGAGAAGAGCCACCAAGCCCCGCGGGACCUUCUCCUCCAUCAGGCCCUCCCUAUGGUACAUAGAAGGAACAGCAAGAG
rnacentral:lncRNA from 11 species